rnacentral:tRNA from 1 species
GCCGGUGUGGCGGAACAGGUAGACGCUACGGACUUAAAAUUCGUUGCCCUUCGGGGCGUGCCGGUUCGAUCCCGGCCACCGGCACCA